AAAGUCUAAAACAUUAAACGAUAAAUCUGGAACGACAUUUACUCAUAAUACUUAUAUGUGACUGUGAUGUCACCAUCACAUUAUGUGUGUUUUAUUUUGGAGGGGUGGAGUGGUGGUGGGGGUAUUAACCAGACCACUUCCUGUUGUUAAGAUAAUAUGUCUGAACAAAGGGCCCCUUCUUCCGAGAGUGGGGCCCCGGCUCCUCCUCCACUGUCCAACCAGAGGUGUUUGGUGAAGUAAAUCUGCCUAAAUCCUGGGGGGCGAGUGAGGAGGAGGGAGGGGGGUGAAGGUGAAUAAAGAUAAUCUGCUUUUCUUCACAAUAAAACGUCUCUGAGAGGAGGAGGAGGGAAAUUAGGAAUUCAUAUCACAUGGUGCAUUUUCUACUUGAUUCCUGACCUGUUUCACGAGCAGCUGAGUCCAACACAAAGCUGCAGCAGUAAGGGGCCUGGGGGCCCUUGGGGGCCACCGAGGGCCCCCUACAGGCCCAACAUGGAACAAUGCUAUGUGGAAGCUGGUUUUACUUUUACACUGAAAACAUAGAGAGAACUUUUAUUUUUGACGUCAACAAACGGGAAAAUUCUCAAAACCACUCAGAAAAAUGUAGAAACCAGCUGAUUGAUGAAACCAGAAAACAGCGAUUCUCAAAAACUUUUUUUUAUAAAAAUCAUCAUAUUAUAGAAAUGAUCUGGAAACAACAAGAAAUCUGUGAAACCACGAAAGAAAACUAACUAGAAAAACUCAAGAAAACGGAGAUUUGUAAAAUCCAGAAAAUGGAAAAAUAAAAUUCCUGAAAUCAGGAAACACCUGAUUCAUUAAAAAAUAAUGUCUCACUUCUAUCAACAGUUAUUCUGGAAAUGACAAGAAAUCUGUGAAACCAUGAGAGAAAACAAACCAAAAUCUCAAGAAACGGAAAAAAAAAAUCCUGAAACCAGAAAACAGACAAAAACCAGCUGAUUCAACCAAGAAAAUGAACCUUCACUUCUUCCUACAACGAUUAUUCUGGAAACCACAAGAGAAAACAAACUGAAAUCCAGAAAACGCAAAACUAAAAUUCCUGAAAAUGGAGAACAAACGAAGAAAAAAAUUACGAAACUGUGAGAGUGAAAAUAACAGAAAGAAAUCCUAGAGAAAGAUUUCAUGGUGUAAAAAUAAAAAAUGUGAAACCAUUGACCUGAAUUAACGAUCAGGGUGAGACGCCGCUCUGAAUGAGGAUGACUGACAGAAAACCGAAACAGGUUUUAGUUUAAAUGUGAAACACUGAAGACGUUCAUCAGUCUGAACAGAUUCACUUCAUCAUCUCUCUUUCUCUCUAAGUCUUUCUUAGUGUCUCUCGUCCGUCAACUAUCUCUGUCCGUCCAUUAGUGUGGGGGUGGGGGUCAUGGUGGUGGUGGGAGGGUUUAUAUAGGGCACAUAGACAACACACACCUUCCCUCCACCUUCCAUCCUCCUCUCUUUCUUUCUUCAUCUCCUCCCCUCUCUCUUUUCUUUCUUUUCAUGUGGGACGCGGCAGCGAGCGAGCGAGCGAGCGAGCGAGCGGCCCCGGCGGCGGUGAGAGGGUCUGAAUGGUGAUUAAGACGGAGGAGAGAGGAGCUGCUUUUCUUUGUUCUGCCCUGAGGGAGGUGUUUACUGAGGGGGGGCAACAUGGCGGAGCAGAUAUGAAAGGCAUUCAGAAGACGACAGAGUGGGACACACACCAGCUCCACACGAGGAAAACACACCACCAUCAGAGAGGAACACAACCGGGCUUCGUCUUACAAGCCGCUCGUUUCAGUCAGGACAGAAAAUCAACGACAAACAAAAUGAUUUCUGUUGAACCAGAUGAACACGGAGCUUCCACCCAACUUCCCGCAGUGAACGGAGGAUUUUAGAAACAGCUGGAUGUGACGGACAGACGUCCAGAGGUGGAGGAGGCCAGCCGGUCCUCAGAGAUCCUGUUACACCAGGCCCUAAUCUGACCCCCCUCACCCCACUCCCUCCCUCCUGCUUCACCCUCCUUCAACAACCCCCCUGGGACCCCUGAGAGGAGGAGACGGAGCCGCAUCCCGGGACGAGGAGAAACCACAACGACGUCACAGAGAAACAUUUAAAUUCACAUGUAAUCCAGAGAUUUAACAUGUAACUGACAGGAAGUUCAACACUGAUCAACCGUAAAUGUAUCCCCCUUAAAUUCAUUCACAUUUAAUUCAUUUAUGUUUGUGAUUUAUUUUAUUUGCUGAAAUAAAUAUCAGUGAUUUUAAACUGUAGAACGUUAAUUAUUUUCAUCAUCAGAAAGAUUCAGUUACCUGUUUUAAAUUCUUUAGUUUGUAUUUAAAUGACGGACUGAGUCUUUACAUUUACUGAGGCCUUUAAACGUCUCCAUGGUGUAUUUACAGACACACAAAUAAAAACGUCGAGAGAAACUGCCGCGGCUUCAUGAUGAAGCAGCAGCUGCAAGACUCGAUCCUGCGACACAGACUUUA